rnacentral:misc_RNA from 1 species
AACGCACCUUGCACCCUUUGGUAUUCCGAAGGGUAUGCCUGUUUGAGCGUCUCGAAAACGUCAAACCGUUCGGGUUUCGGUUCGAACGGGUUUGGAAUUUGGGGGCCUUUUUGCUGCCGAAAGGCGGCUCCCCUCGAAUGCUUCGGACGAAUCCCAGCCCCAGUAGUCGGCGUUGUAUUGCCCUCGCUGCGAAAAGGUUUGCGGGAGACCCGUCCUCGAAUCGCCUGUGGAGUGGCGAUUCGCCUUUUGCACUUCUGACCUCAAAUCAGGCAGGACUACCCGCUGAACUUAA